rnacentral:rRNA from 1 species
AUUGAACGCUGGCGGCAGGCCUAACACAUGCAAGUCGAACGAGUGGCGGACGGGUUAGUAAUGUCUGGGAAACUGCCUGAUGGAGGGGGAUAACUCCUGGAAACGGUAGCUAAUACCGCAUACCAUACGAUGUGCCCAGAUGGGAGUAGCUAGUUGGUGGGGUAACGGCUGACAAAGGCGACGAUCCCUAGCUCGUCGUAGAGGAUGACCAGCCACACGGGAACUGAGACACGGUCCAGACUCCGACGGGAGGCAGCAGGGGGGAAUAUUGCACAAUGGGCGAAAGCCUGAUGCAGCAAUGCCGCGUGUAUGAAGAAGGCCUUCGGGUUGUAAAGUACUUUCAGCGGGGAAGCGUUACCCGAAGAAGAAGCAACGGCUAACUCCGUGCCAGCAGCCGCGGGAAUAC